AGCAGCCGCGGUAAUUCCAGCUCCAAUAGCGUAUAUUAAAGUUGUUGCAGUUAAAAAGCUCGUAGUUGAAUUUCGGGACCGAUAUAUCGGUCGUGCCUCGGUACGUACUGGUAUUUUCGGUUUCUACCUUCUGACGAACCUUGAUGUCAUUAAUUUGGUGUCUUGGGGAAUCAGGACUGUUACUUUGAAAAAAUUAGAGUGUUUAAAGCAGGCUCACGCUUGAAUACAUUAGCAUGGAGUAAUGAAAUAGGACGUUCGAUCCUAUUUUGUUGGUUUCUAGGAUCAACGUAAUGAUUAAUAGGGAUAGUUGGGGGCAUUAGUAUUCAAUUGUCAGAGGUGAAAUUCUUGGAUUUAUUGAAGACUAACUACUGCGAAAGCAUUUGCCAAGGAUGUUUUCAUUAAUCAAGAACGAAAGUUAGGGGAUCGAAGACGAUCAGAUACCGUCGUAGUCUUAACCAUAAACUAUGCCGACUAGGGAUCGGAUGAUGUUAAUUUUUUAAUGACUCAUUCGGCGCCUUAC
rnacentral:rRNA from 1 species